GACGAACGCUGGCGGCGUGCCUAAUACAUGCAAGUAGAACGCUGAAGGAGGAGCUUGCUUCUCUGGAUGAGUUGCGAACGGGUGAGUAACGCGUAGGUAACCUGCCUGGUAGCGGGGGAUAACUAUUGGAAACGAUAGCUAAUACCGCAUAAUAGUAGAUGUUGCAUGACAUUUGCUUAAAAGGUGCAAUUGCAUCACUACCAGAUGGACCUGCGUUGUAUUAGCUAGUUGGUGGGGUAACGGCUCACCAAGGCGACGAUACAUAGCCGACCUGAGAGGGUGAUCGGCCACACUGGGACUGAGACACGGCCCAGACUCCUACGGGAGGCAGCAGUAGGGAAUCUUCGGCAAUGGACGGAAGUCUGACCGAGCAACGCCGCGUGAGUGAAGAAGGUUUUCGGAUCGUAAAGCUCCGUUGUAAGAGAAGAACGAGUGUGAGAGUGGAAAGUUCACACUGUGACGGUAUCUUACCAGAAAGGGACGGCUAACUACGUG
rnacentral:rRNA from 1 species